rnacentral:rRNA from 1 species
UGGGGAAUCUUGGACAAUGGGCGCAAGCCUGAUCCAGCCAUGCCGCGUGAGUGAAGAAGGCCUUCGGGUUGUAAAGCUCUUUUACCAGGGACGAUAAUGACGGUACCUGGAGAAUAAGCCCCGGCAAACUUCGUGCCAGCAGCCGCGGUAAUACGUAGGGUGCAAGCGUUAAUCGGAAUUACUGGGCGUAAAGCGUGCGCAGGCGGUUUUGUAAGUCUGAUGUGAAAUCCCCGGGCUCAACCUGGGAAUUGCAUUGGAGACUGCAAGGCUAGAAUCUGGCAGAGGGGGGUAGAAUUCCACGUGUAGCAGUGAAAUGCGUAGAUAUGUGGAGGAACACCGAUGGCGAAGGCAGCCCCCUGGGUCAAGAUUGACGCUCAUGCACGAAAGCGUGGGGAGCAAACAGGAUUAGAUACCCUUGUAGUCCUGAGCGGGCUGGCAAGGCGCAU